rnacentral:lncRNA from 10 species
GUGGGGGGGAUUAAGUAUAGGCUAUUUGCAAGUCUGAGGGAAUUUACUUUGGCAUAUUGUAUAAUUCUAGAGAGAGGCAGGAAGUUGAAAGGGGAAAAGGUGGGGGCCAGAGAAACGAGGGAAGGGUCCCAGUAAAUCAUUGUUCCACCUUGCCAUUCAGCCAGCACCUGGCAGCAGGGCCUGAAGACCCACUGACUGCUUCGUUAGCUUUCCAGGUGGCUCACCAACAUACUCGGAACAAUGAAAAACACUUGAUCAAUGUUUAUUUCUGUCUUUGAAUUCUAUUUGCUGAGUUUGAUUCAGUAAAUGAUUAUGUAUCAUAAUGCUUACUAUUUGGUUGUUAGGUGUAGGCCUUUGUCAGAUACCUCACUAAAAGCUCCACCUACAGCAUUAAUUUAGAUCUUCGGAGCCCUAUGGGUAGAUAUUUAUAUAACCCCCAUUACACAGAUGAGGAUAUUGAGGGUCCAAUGUGCCCAAGGUCAUACAGUGAAGGCGGCAGAACUGCAGGUUUGAGUUCAAGUCUGCAGACAAUUCAGCCCUAAUCUCAACCACCAAGAUGUAAUUAAUGCCUUAUGCUUUAGAAUUCCCAUUAGAUCUGGAAAUCUAAGAUGGCUACAACAUAACUUAGCAGUUCUUUGGGAGAAUAAAAUUGUCUGGUAUGCAUCUGUUAACACUUUGUUGUUCUGAGCCUUUCUUGUAAAAUCCAGUAAAUGUGAGCUUCCCAAGGCUCGAAACAGAUCGGAUUUAUCCUUCCACCCAGGUAUUCUGCAGAACAUCACUUGGCCAAUAGGAGGUGCCCAGCCAAUGUUGAAAGUAAAUUAAACGAAGUGAAAUUCAGGUUUUUGCUCUAGAUGUGUGCCAAAUCAGCUCAUUAGGGGACUGGCAACAACAAAAUUAACAUUGAGUGCUAAGUCCUUUAGAGGCCAAGAGGCCUGGCGGCUCUUCCUAGCUCUGUAGCGACUCUUAGCAAACUUGCAGAGCCCAAACGUGGUGAGGAAAGCCACAUGCGGAAUCCACGCUUGAGGCUGCACAGGUUGUGACCUGGAGAGCCAUCUUCCAGAUUCUGAACACCCAUCUCUCCCUUGAGUCUGCGUUUCUCACAGGCCUGAGUCCUGCACACACAAACUUGUGUUUCUUACACACUCAUAGGAAAAACGUGCCUUGCACACCUGACAACAUGCUGCAGAGGAGGACGUGCAGUCUGGAUGUAAAUGUGGGUCUAAGCCACAGCAGGAGUCUUCUUGUCUGCGAGACGCGCCUGGCAUUCACUGAGCAGGGCUGGCGUGAGCAUGAAUGCUGCCACCCGGGAAGAGCCUCCCAGUCCUCAAAUCCCGAGCCCAUGCCUUUCAUCCCUGCCAGGUUUCCAUUUCCAGUUUGCUCCUAACCUGGCCCUUGUCCCCUGCCCCGGCCCCCCGGGACGGGCGAGAGCGAGCCAGACAAUAGUAAAUGGAAUUCAGUCCCACACAAGGGGAAAAAAAAAAAAAAAAGAUUAUGAAAAUGGAAAGUAAAUAAAUAUGGAUGUUGAGGACCUAAUUCUGAUAAGCGGAUUUUCAAAAUUAGCCAUUUGCAAGAGUAGAUUAAAUGCGUUUAAUGUGAUGGGUGGAAGUAAGUCGAUUAAGAUGCACAGCAGACCCCAUUUCAGCAGAUUCCGGGGAGCAGGCCUCGCAGGCCCCCUUCACGCUGCGCAUGUUUGCCGGGAUAAACGCCGAAUGCCUC